rnacentral:lncRNA from 1 species
UUGGCACGUGAGUUGUCCGUGCGGGUUCUAUUAUUAGAAUGUGAGUUGUCAGUGCAACGUGUGGAUACGGAUCCAUCCCCCUAGGAUCAUCCUCUCAUGUUUCUCUCUUGAUGGUGUACACGCGGUUAUUGAGAAUACUGAUCAGUGGUUUAGAACGGAUAUGGAAAGUUGAGAGAAUCCGACCAGUUGUGUGGAUUUUGCAUUUCCUUAUCAUUUACCUGAUUUAACUGCUCAUCACAUGUACAUGCCGCUGGGAGCACCAAAUUAUAAGUUGGGUUCUUCCCAAAAAAAACAGGACACAAAAAAAAAAAUUAGAGGAAGAAGAGAUCUGAGAGGACAACGAAAAUAGAUAGAAAGGGAAAAAAAACCUGCAAAAGCUAGGAAAAAAAGGAAGAAGAAGGCGGCAGCUCACAAAUUUUGGAUCUCUCCCAGCUCACGCCAUAACCAGCCCAUACACACACGAUCUAUAUACAGAAAAUCAUUCCCCUUUAGAUUGAUAGCUCCAAUGCCCACUGUUUUGACCUCCGUGAACGUCGUUCAAAUUCCACCACCGAGUAUCUUUGUCGCAGGGGUUUUCCGUUAUUUCCGGUCGGAGGUAAGGAGGUUCCGUUCGAGUUGCCGAAUCAAGGUCUCCAGUUAGUCACCAAGUUCGUGGUCGUCUUCUUUUGUGUAAUAGCUUGGAAAUUCAUGUUAGUAAUAUAUGAAGAAAGUUUAAAGGUCCGAUCCUUAUCUCAUCUUUUACUUCUUUAAGUUGAUACAUGAAUUUUAUGUCUUGGCAUAAUCUUUGGAUGAAAGUUCUACUCCAUUUAUGAACAAAUACGUGAAAUUGCUCCUUCUGUGUUACCAUUUUUGUUUGAAAUUGGUUGUUGCUCCUUUUCGAUUAACCUUAGUUAUCGGCUAUUAGUUUCAAGUAAUUAGAUUUGUGUGCUUGCCUUGAUGAUAUCUCAUUGUUUAGAUUCACUAUUUUCUAUUUGAUGAGCCUUCGUCGUGUUAUUCUUGAGUUAUUUUAAUGAAAUUUGAAGUAUGAAGUUAAUUUUUUUUUUCUUUUUUCCUUUCAUAUAUUGAAGGUUUAAGUUUCAAAUAGUACCAUGAAGGGAUAUUUGGGCUAAACUCAUUAAAGCAAUAUGGAAAGUGGGGUAGGUUAGCUUAGAGAAAAAGUUUUAAAUUAUUUUUGUCGUGUCUAUAUGUUUAGGUCGUAGGAGUACGAUUUUGGCCUAUUUCAUUUUCUUUAAGCUGAUUUAUCUUUAUUUAAUGAACAUUUCUCAUAACUUAGAUGUAUAGGUAUACAUGGACCGGGUUUGUUCGAUUUUAAUCAAAACCAAACCAAACCAAUUAUAUCGGUUUGUAUUGGUUCGAUUUUAUCUGGUUUUUUAGAUUUUCGGGUUUUUUAUUACUUAAAUAUUAUUUCAAUCUUACUUUGUUAAAUAUUUGAUAAGUAAAUAUAUAUGUAGUAAAAAUAUAAAAAAAAUUGGCAAAUAUAUUAUCGAUUAAAAUAUUCUUAUGGGAGAAUUUUAUUAGUAACACAUAAUAGUUAUUUAUUUAGUCGUCUGACAAUAAUUUUUCGUUGAUGUACACUUUCAGCUUAACCGAAUUUAGUAAUUAAACAUAAAAAUCAAUAUGAUACAUAAAUAUAAUAAUCACUUCACAUUCGAAAAAGAUAUAAGAAUUUAAUAGAUCUUAAUAUAUGAUAUGAAUAUGGAAGAACAAAGAGAUAGACGCAUUUCAGUAACACUUGAUAAGAAAGUAAUCAUACAACUCAUUAUUUAAGGUCAAUAAAUAUGGAGCACUUCAUAUUCUAUUAGAAUUUAUAUCCCGCAAGAAAAUCUCAAAUAUUUCUAGACAUUUUUUAAAGAAAAUUCUAUAUAAAAUCUUAAAAGUAUAUAUAAAAAUUAUAUAUUUAUAUGUCGGGUUGGUUCAGGUUUUUUUACUCAAUACCAAACCAAACCAAACAAUGUUAGGUUUUUAAUCGGUUUGGUUUGACUUUUCGGUUUGGUACAGUUUUUCGGUUCGGUUUGUACACCCCUACUUAGAUAUAUCAUUGGCCUUUUCAUGUAAACUAAACACUACCCUCUUUCUACAAUAAUAUCCAUAAAUUAUGGCCUCACAAUAAUCUCAGAGUAGGAAAAAUAAUCCAUGAAUACAUUAGUAUGCUUUUAGGUACGCUUUUAAUUAAUCAAAUUAUCGUGAUUAUAUGUAUACGUUCGCGUGACAUAAUUGCGACUUCCAAACUUAAAAAUCAAGGUACGCGUUCACGCAACUUUGGGAGAAACAAUCUUAAUAAUAAUAAAGUGUUAUUAAUUGUAUACACAUACACGUGACAUAAUUUUUAGCGCGCUUAAUAAAACGGAUUCACGCACAUGUGGUUCAUUUCAAGAUAAUUUCAUAACGCCAUAAUUAAAAGCGGUAAAAGGUAAAAUGGACAUAGGUUCUAAAAUUACGUAAUUAAAUAAUUAAUUAAGCCAGGUAUGAUUAAAGCCACGGUGCUAAAAUCACGGAAUCCGUGAAUGCCCAAUGUCUUCUCCCGGAUUAACAGAAUUCCUUAUCGGGGUCUUCUGUGUUUCGCAGACUUAACAUAGAGUCAAUUUCCUCGAUUUGAAAUUUUAAAACAAAUCGGUGACUUGUGACACCAUAACAAUUAUUCCAAGUGGCGACACUAAUUAAAUAAAUAAUCUCAUUUUAAUUGGAAAAACUCCUUUAUCUUCGAAAAAAGGGGGCGUGACAGCUAUAAUAUUGUUUGAGCAGAGUAUUUGAGAAACUAUACACAUGCACACACAGACUGUUUUCUCACGAAACUUGAUGAGUUAAUUUUCAAUAUUGUUCUGUGCAGGUUUAAAAGAUGGAACUACACAAGUGAUAGCUAGUAUCAUUAAUAAUUUAUGCUUCUCUUACCUUGCCGUGUUUAUUUACGAUACUUAUUGAGUUGGUUGUACUCAUACUAUACUCUGCACUUCGUGUGCAGAUCCAGGUACUUUCGGACAUGGAGGUUGCUAGUGUUGGAGCUUAUUCAGUUCAGAAACUAUCGAGAUAAUUGCCUUGGCAUCCGCAGACCCUGACUCUCCUCCUUUUACUUUAGUUUCAUUUAUACCGUUCUAUCUUUCUAGGCAGUGUUUCCGCAUUCAGGCCACGUUAUUGUAUAGAUGCUCAUGUACUAAGUGACAUCCUGAUUUUGGAGAAUUCUGUAUUGAGUUGCGGUGUUUGUCUUCCAGUUAUUAUGAGAUCUUAUUUAAUUAGCCUAUUUCAGUAUGUUUAAAUUAUAGAUGCUUGUUAUUUGUGAGUUGUCGGCUUGCUUAGUAUCGCGAUAGGCGCCAUCACAACACAUAUAAUUUUGGAUCGUG